AGGAACUGGUUGGAAUGCCCGAUUUACGUUGACACGGUAGAGGUCUGGGGUUCGAGUCCCCACGGGCCUACCA
rnacentral:tRNA from 1 species